AGCGAAGAAGGCCUUCGGGUCGUAAAGCUCUGUCCUAAGGGAAGAAAGAUGACGGUACCUUAGGAGGAAGCCCCGGCUAACUACGUGCCAGCAGCCGCGGUAAAACGUAGGGGGCGAGCGUUAUCCGGAAUGACUGGGCGUAAAGGGUGUGUAGGCGGCCGGUAAAGUCUGGGGUGAAAGGCUACGGCUUAACCGUAGUAAGCCUUGGAAACUUAUCGGCUUGAGUGCAGGAGAGGAGAGCGGAAUUCCUAGUGUAGCGGUGAAAUGCGUAGAUAUUAGGAGGAACACCAGUGGCGAAGGCGGCUCUCUGGACUGCAACUGACACUGAGGCACGAAAGCGUGGGGAGCGAACAGGAUUAGAUACCCUGGUAGUCCACGCCGUAAACGAUGAGUGCUAGGUGUUGGAGGUUUUGCCUUCAGUGCCGCAAUUAACGCAUUAAGCACUCCGCCUGGGGAGUACGGUCGCAAGACUGAAACUCA
rnacentral:rRNA from 2 species